rnacentral:rRNA from 1 species
UACGAAGGGGGCUAGCGUUGUUCGGAUUUACUGGGCGUAAAGCGCACGUAGGCGGAUUGUUAAGUGAGGGGUGAAAUCCUGGAGCUCAACUCCAGAACUGCCUUUCAUACUGGCAAUCUAGAGUCCGGAAGAGGUGAGUGGAACUCCUAGUGUAGAGGUGGAAUUCGUAGAUAUUAGGAAGAACACCAGUGGCGAAGGCGGCUCACUGGUCCGGUACUGA